AGAACACCCGUGGCGAAAGCGGUUCUCUGGGACGGUACUGACGCUGAGACGCGAAAGCGUGGGGAGCGAACAGGAUUAGAUACCCUGNNAGUCCACGCCGUAAACGAUGGGUNNUAGGUGUGGGGGGUGUCGACUCCCCCCGUGCCGAAGCUAACGCAUUAAGCACCCCGCCNGGGGAGUACGGCCGCAAGGNNNNAACUCAAAGGAAUUGACGGGGGCCCGCACAAGCAGCGGAGCAUGUGGUUUAAUUCGACGCAACGCGAAGAACCUUACCAAGGCUUGACAUGCACUUGAAAAGCGUAGAAAUACGUNNNNUCUUCGGAGCAAGUGCACAGGUGGUGCAUGGCUGUCGUCAGCUCGUGUCGUGAGAUGUUGGGUUAAGUCCCGCAACGAGCGCAAC
rnacentral:rRNA from 1 species